ensembl:lncRNA
AUCCCCAUCAUACAACAUGCUGAGGUAUAUGAACAGAAUUUGUCAGGAGCUAAUAUGUUAGUUAGCUGUCACGGUUUGAACUAAAAAUCCACCUGCGUCCGUGACAGGGUGCCGUAGGCCCCGGAGGGGCCCUAGGCCGAAAGGAAAAAAAUUAAUUAGGAAAAGAAAACAGCGGCAACGAUCUAAGGAGGCACACUUAUUUACUAAAUACUAUAUCGAAAUACAGGGUAACACAAUAUAAUACAAUAUAAUUGAAAUUGAGCUAACGAAUCAAGCAAAAUAGGAGAGAGAAUGAGUCCCGUAACCGAGAGGCUACUGUGAAUCUAGGCGAACGGCUGAAGGCUCCCACACACUCCCCUGAACGCCAGAACUCGAAAGACGUCAGUCUGUUCUGCGACAGAGUUAAUAUAGAGUCCAGGUCCCGUGACCUAUCGUGUUGUUCUCCUGGGAGAUGUAGUCUUCUUCUGAUAAGUUGCAGAUUCAGUAAAAUUAUUCAUGCUUUAUAUGAUGUUAUGAUGUGGAAUACUGAUAGCAAAAUUACAAAUUAUUAAACCAUGACAUUCCACCCCUUAUUCUACAUCAUUACAUUAUAUUUAUACAUACAUACACACUCAUAUGUAUAAUUGUGAAUAAUCAGCAACCUUAUUUUUUCUCAACAAUCUAUAUUUAUUCCAUACAAAUCCUAAGUGAGAACAAAACUCUAUAACCUAAUUUACUAUUUAUUAAUUUUGAGAAAAUGGCAAAACUGCCAGAAAAAGGAAAACAUGUCAGCGGUAGAGGGGAAAGGCAGCGCUGGUAGGGCGUCCCCCACAUCAAGGUGCACUCAUCCUUUCCCAGCCACCACAGCAGAUUUUCCUUUUGAUUUAUACUUCUUUCCAUGUGUGCUCUACACAUGCAUGGCCAGUGCAGGAUAUAGAGUCCAGAUGGAAAACUUGCUUACAGAAUGCCUAAUUAAGGUAUAUAGAGAAAAAAGUGUUUCCUUAACAUUAAUCCACUCUAUCUUAAGUCCUAUACCUAAUUGAAACUAUUCUGUACCUAAUUGAAAUAUUUCCUGAGACUCUACCUAUAUAUUUACAGGAAAAUCAUUGGCUGCACUCCCCAAACAUCAAAUUCCUUGUGGUACACAUGAACAUUCCCAUUUUUGUCCAUCACCCCAUGUGCAGCCAGGUCCCGUGGGCAAAGACAGUACCCCGGAGAGGUUUGCCCUUUCCAGAUGCUGGAAGGACCCAAACCGUCUUUCCCAACACGCUCUUUAUGUGUACUACAGGAACCUUAUCUCCCUCCCACGGUACGUAGGGAGCUGGAUUGGUUAGGACCAUUGCGAUUACUAGAUCCCGAGUGUUGACCAACCAGGUGGCUUUCUGCUAAAUGGUUCUCCCAAUUUUUAUACGUUCCGCCACCCAUUGCUUUCAACAUAGUUUUCAACAACCCAUUGAAUCGUUCAAUCUUACCAGAAGCUGGUGCAUGAUAGGGAAUAUGGUAAAUCCACUCGAUGCAUGAUUUUUGGCCCAAGUGGUUACCAUGAGGGAAUUUUUAAAAUGGGUUCCCAUUAUCUGAUUCAAUUCUUUCUGGAGUGCCAUGCCGCCACAGGAUUUGCUUUUCCACCCUAAUAUGGGUGUGUUUCGGCGGUAGCAUGGGGUACUGCGUAUGUUUCGAGCCACCCAGUGGUUGCCUCCACCAUGGUGAGUACAUACCGCUUACCAUUGCGAGAUCGUGGCAAGGUGAUAUAAUCACCCCUGCCAUGCCUCUCCAUAUUUAUACUUUUGCCAUCGCCUUCCCCCAAAGAGGUUUCAUCCUCUUGGCUUGUUUAAUUAUGGCGCAUGUUUCACAAUCAUGAAUAACUUGAGCAAUAGCGUCCAUAGUUAAGUCCACCCCUCGGUCUCUGGCCCACUUAUAUGUUGCAUCCCUUCCUUGAUGACCUGAAGUCUCAUGGGCCCACCGAGCUAGGAAUAAUUCACCCUUGUUCUGCCAGUCCAAGUCUAUUUGAGCCACUCAAUUUUGGCAGCUCGAUCACCUGAUGGU